AGAGUUUGAUCCUGGCUCAGAUUGAACGCUGGCGGCAUGCCUUACACAUGCAAGUCGAACGGCAGCACGGGAGCAAUCCUGGUGGCGAGUGGCGAACGGGUGAGUAAUACAUCGGAACGUGCCCAGUUGUGGGGGAUAGCCCGGCGAAAGCCGGAUUAAUACCGCAUACGACCUACGGGUGAAAGCGGGGGAUCGCAAGACCUCGCGCAAUUGGAGCGGCCGAUGGCAGAUUAGCUUGUUGGUGGGGUAAAAGCCUACCAAGGCGACGAUCUGUAGCUGGUCUGAGAGGACGACCAGCCACACUGGGACUGAGACACGGCCCAGACCCCUACGGGAGGCAGCAGUGGGGAAUUUUGGACAAUGGGCGCAAGCCUGAUCCAGCCAUGCCGCGUGUGGGAAGAAGGCCUUCGGGUUGUAAACCACUUUUGUCAGGGAAGAAACGGUCUGAUCUAAUAAAUCGGACUAAUGACGGUACCUGAAGAAUAAGCACCGGCUAACUACGUGCCAGCAGCCGCGGUAAUACGUAGGGUGCAAGCGUUAAUCGGAAUUACUGGGCGUAAAGCGUGCGCAGGCGGCUAUGCAAGACAGAUGUGAAAUCCCCGGGCUCAACCUGGGAACUGCAUUUGUGACUGCAUGGCUAGAGUACGGCAGAGGGGGAUGGAAUUCCGCGUGUAGCAGUGAAAUGCGUAGAUAUGCGGAGGAACACCGAUGGCGAAGGCAAUCCCCUGGGCCUGUACUGACGCUCAUGCACGAAAGCGUGGGGAGCAAACAGGAUUAGAUACCCUGGUAGUCCACGCCCUAAACGAUGUCAACUGGUUGUUGGACGGCUUGCUGUUCAGUAACGAAGCUAACGCGUGAAGUUGACCGCCUGGGGAGUACGGCCGCAAGGUUGAAACUCAAAGGAAUUGACGGGGACCCGCACAAGCGGUGGAUGAUGUGGUUUAAUUCGAUGCAACGCGAAAAACCUUACCUACCCUUGACAUGUCUAGAAGUUUCCAGAGAUGGAUUCGUGCUCGAAAGAGAACUAGAACACAGGUGCUGCAUGGCCGUCGUCAGCUCGUGUCGUGAGAUGUUGGGUUAAGUCCCGCAACGAGCGCAACCCUUAUCAUUAGUUGCUACGCAAGGGCACUCUAAUGAGACUGCCGGGACAAACCGGAGGAAGGUGGGGAUGACGUCAGGUCAUCAUGGCCCUUAUGGGUAGGGCUACACACGUCAUACAAUGGCCGGUACAGAGGGCUGCCAACUCGCGAGAGGGAGCUAAUCUCAGAAAACCGGUCGUAGUCCGGAUCGCAGUCUGCAACUCGACUGCGUGAAGUCGGAAUCGCUAGUAAUCGCGGAUCAGCUUGCCGCGGUGAAUACGUUCCCGGGUCUUGUACACACCGCCCGUCACACCAUGGGAGCGGGUUCUGCCAGAAGUAGUUAGCCUAACCGCAAGGAGGGCGAUUACCACGGCAGGGUUCGUGACUG
rnacentral:rRNA from 1 species